rnacentral:rRNA from 1 species
GAUGAACGCUGGCGGCGUGCCUAAUACAUGCAAGUCGAGCGAACGGACGAGAAGCUUGCUUCUCUGAUGUUAGCGGCGGACGGGUGAGUAACACGUGGAUAACCUACCUAUAAGACUGGGAUAACUUCGGGAAACCGGAGCUAAUACCGGAUAAUAUUUUGAACCGCAUGGUUCAAAAGUGAAAGACGGUCUUGCUGUCACUUAUAGAUGGAUCCGCGCUGCAUUAGCUAGUUGGUAAGGUAACGGCUUACCAAGGCAACGAUGCAUAGCCGACCUGAGAGGGGGCGCGCCCACACGGGAACUGAGACAGGGCCAAGCCUCCUCGGGGAGGCAGCAGUAGGGAAUCUUCCGAAGUGGGCGAAGCCCUGACGGAACAACGCCGGGGGGGGGAUGAAGGUCUCCGUAUCGAAAAACUCUUUUAUUGGGAAAAAAAAUAUGUGAAAUAAACUGUGCAAAUCUUGCCGGUCCCUAAUAAGAAAGCCACGGCUAACUACGUG